CUGGACUCCGAGGUACCAAACCCUAUACCUGCGGGUACAACUAAACAUAUGGAGCUUGAGAAAGAGUUGGUGCCUGAACAAGCCAGCAAUACCCAAGUGUCAUGAUGUUCGAACACGAGAAGCUGGAAUUCAGGACAUACAUCACCAAAGUAAGCCGGAUGAAGUGGAGCUCGUUCGUCAUGAUUAUACAGCAAAUGAAGGUUGGGAAACGUUUCUUUCAUAUGAAGAUACACGCCAGGAUAUUCUACUUGGGUUGUUGCGAUUAAGAAAAUGUGGCAAAAACACUACCUCUGCUGAACUUAUGGGAAAGUGUUCUAUUGUUCGUUAACUCCAUGUUUAUGGGACUGCUGUUCCAGUUCAUGAGCGGGAUGCUGGCAAGCUGCAACACCAGGGCUAUGGUACCCUUUUGAUGGAAGAAGCUGAGCGAAUUGCUAGAAGGGAGCAUAGAUCAACAAAGAUUGCUGUUAUUUCUGGACUAGGAACUCGUCGUCACUACUAUAGGAAAUUAAGGAUACGAGCUUGAAGGGCCUUACAUGGUUAAACAUCUUGUAUAACUAGAUUUAAGAGUUUGUGUAACACAGUUUUGUAAUAUUAGCCGAAAUAAAUUCUAGUUUCAGAUACACGAUCAGUUUGUAUGGGUUUUCA